rnacentral:rRNA from 1 species
UGCGUAGGGCGCGAGCGUUGUCCGGAAUUAUUGGGCGUAAAGAGCUCGUAGGCGGCCUGUUGCGUCUGCUGUGAAAUCCCGGGGCUUAACCCCGGGCGUGCAGUGGAUACGGGCAGGCUGGAGGCAGGCAGGGGAGAAUGGAAUUCCCGGUGUAGCGGUGAAAUGCGCAGAUAUCGGGAGGAACACCGGUGGCGAAGGCGGUUCUCUGGGCCUGUUCUGACGCUGAGGAGCGAAAGCGUGGGGAGCGAACAGG